rnacentral:tRNA from 1 species
GGAGAGAUGGCAGAGUGGUCGAAUGCGGCCGACUUGAAAUCGGCUUCGGGGAAACCCGACGGGGGUUCGAAUCCCUCUCUCUCCG